rnacentral:rRNA from 1 species
UACGGAGGGGGCUAGCGUUGUUCGGAAUUACUGGGCGUAAAGCGCACGUAGGCGGCUUUGUAAGUUAGAGGUGAAAGCCCGGAGCUCAACUCCGGAAUUGCCUUUAAGACUGCAUCGCUUGAAUCAUGGAGAGGUGAGUGGAAUUCCGAGUGUAGAGGUGAAAUGCGUAGAGAUGCGGAGGAAUACCAGUGGCGAAGGCGGCCUUCUGGGACUCAACUGACGCUGAAGCGCGAAAGCAUGGGGAGCGAACGGG